GCCCUUAUCGUCUAGUGGUCUAGGACAUCUUUUUUUCAGGAAGGAAACGAGG
rnacentral:tRNA from 1 species